UAAAAGUGGAAAUAUUUCUCUUUCGAUUCUAACGCUACAUUCUCACGGCGAUCGGGCUGCGCACAACGUGCACUCCAUCUUCCCAGGACUCCAUGUUGGGUGAAUGGAUUUCAAGUAAGCGAUGGUGCCACUGACGUGAGGGCACGCCAUGGAAGUUCCAGAGAGAAAAGUGUACUCCACGAACACUUCCUUUCCAUUGUCAGUGUCGGGGAUAUUGCUUGGCCAAGCUGCUAAGAUCUCGACUCCUGGAGCGGUAACGUCCGGCUGCAACGCGAGAUAAGUCACAAGCUUCAUGGUGCUGGCUUGUAAGGAAUCGUUGUUCCUCUGAGAAUUCGUGAUUUACGACUGCACAGAAACCACGAGGCAAAGAGUAUUCCAUCACCUUUUGAUCAUCUGUUAUACUUACUUGGCUGCUAUUUUAGCAUCCUCGUUGAUCUCCCUGUCGAUUGUACUGGCACCGACCGUGAAGAUCCAGGGAGCACCGUUGGACACCGAUCCAGUAAAUGGUCCAGAGCUUCCACCAGCGCAAGAGACCAUGAUCCCUCUUUCGACGGCGUGAUAGGCACCAAUCGCAAUGACGUUUACGCUGUAAACUGCGGGAUAGCCUCCGAGUGAGAUGGACAGGACAUCCACGCCGUCGUUGAUGGCAUCGUCGAAACCCGCAGCGAUGUCAACCUCCUCGCAGCUAUCCGUCCAGCAGACUUUGUACAUGGCGAUCCGAGCAU